rnacentral:rRNA from 1 species
CGGGUAGACGUUCAUAUGUGGUAGAGGUGGUGAGGGAACUCAAGUGGCGGAGGCGGCUUUCUAGUAUGUAACAGCGUUGAGCACGAAAGCGUGGGAGGAAACUAGAUUAGGUAACCUGGGAGUCCAGGGGGAAUUCCAC